UCCUAUUUUAAAUUUUUGUUUUCCUCUCAUCCUUUGUAAAAUCCUAUUUCUGGAAAAAGAAAAAAUAGCAUCAACAAAAGUAUUCGGCACUUUUUGUCUGCUUUCUACAUUUUCUCCUCUAAAAGCUAUUGAUCGUAAAGAGAUACCGACCACAACUCAUUUGCUUCGCCAGAACAGAGACAAACCAAAGUAGCAGUCAUGUUGCCAAAGUUCGAUCCAACAAACCAAAAAGCGUGUCUGUCUCUGCUUGAGGAUACCACCAGUAACGCAAAGCAGAUUCAAGAUUCCGUGUUGGAAGCGAUACUUUCACGUAAUGCUCAAACCGAGUACCUUAGAGGUUUCCUCAACGGACAAGUAGAUAAGCAAAGCUUCAAGAAGAACCUACCCUUUGUGACCUACGAAGAUUAUCGCUCUUAUAUUGAUCGUAUCGCUAAUGGAGAGCCCUUUGAUCUCAUCUAAGAUCAACCCAUUAUUGUUCUCUUGACCAGGUUAAAAAAUUGCACGUGCAUCGAUUUCAAGUCUCCUAGAGUUUCAUGUGGGUCGGCACUUGCAGUUUCUUCGAUACCUCUUUGUAUUUGCAAAAAAAGCUCGGGUACUUCAGGAGGAGUUCCAAAGUUGAUACCUUUGACAGCAGAGGAAUUGGAACAGAGGAUGUUGUAUGUAUCUCUCUGUAGACCUAUAUUUUUCAAGCACAUCAAAGGACGUAACGAAGGAAAAUCUCUCAUCUUCUAUUUUGAGACCACAGAAAGCGAGACAGCUUCUGGUUUGAUAGUCAGUGUAAUAACUUUCUUGAACGGGUAAAAUGGUCGAGAUCGAUAAAGUUAAAAUUUAGAACCGAGCUUUUGGGAAUUAAAGUAUGAGGAAAUAUGUUGAAUUUCCAUCACAAAAUGUUGGACCUGGUUAAAGGAAAAUAGAAGAUUGGUCGAGCUACUUAAUGGCCGAAUCGCGGGCAAUAAAGAUUAAUCAAGAAAUUUUUAAGUACGGCGUAGUCGAAGAAUUGAUCGUGGAUGAACUAUGAGUCGAGUAAGCUGCUCGACCAUAGUUAGACAAUGUGUUAGAUUGAUCAGACAAACGUUUUGGAAGCAUAACAAUUUUUUGGAAACACAACGGUUUAGAAAUACGAUGUUUUAGAAGUACGACGUUUCCGAAGCCCGCAGUUUUUGGAAAAACUUCGUAUCAAU